GACGGUAUGGUGUAGCCGGCUCAGCACAUCCUCACAAAAGCAUCGUCGCCUCUGGGAAGCCCUCAGCCACAACACCUCCAGCAAUGGAGCUGCUGUUGGUCGCGAAGAACAGUGCCGCCAAGUAGAGAGGGAAGUCCUUGGUUCGAACCCAAGUGCCGCCA